GUGAAUCAGAGGGAUCUCACUGCCAUUUGUGGCUUUCAUUUGCAGGGAGGGACACGUGCAGAUGUCAAGGACCUACUGUAACAGAACCAGGCUAGAAGAACACGUCUCCUCUGAAAUCCCUUGCUGACAUUAAAACAGCGCAGUUACUCCAAGGGCACAAAAUCUCAGUGUACAGGCUGACAGAGACCCAGCGGGGGCCACAGCAUCUGAUCUUUCACACUGCUGCAGCAGCUUCGCUUCUGGAGUAACAAAAGCUGUGGAUCCAAAGGCUUCCCCAGGAUGGGGGCUUGAACGGUGCAGUUGCCAUUGCAUCAGUGUGACUAAAGCCCUGGAUUUCACAGUGAGGAUUGGAGGUCCCCAGAAAAUUUGAACUUCAUGAAGGAAUGUUACAUUAAAAACAAGCACUGUUAAAAAACCCCUACUGAGUAAGUAAUAACACUGUGUUUCUAUUAUAUAAACCUGUUGGCAACCCUGGUUUUAAACACGCUUGCCUCUAGAGCCAGUUGAAAAGCUGGAACAUUUCUCUUGGCUGAAGUAUUUCAACCAGCUCUCAUUGCUACAACCUUUCCUAAAACUACAGCUCUCGUGACUGUCAAAAUCAAGACAAAAAAGAAAGGGAGGUGUGAGGGGAGGAAGGCCUUUUCUUAAUAAAGGCAUCUUCAGUUAGUAAGAUAACA
rnacentral:lncRNA from 1 species